CCUACGGGUGGCAGCAGUGGGGAAUAUUGGACAAUGGGCGAAAGCCUGAUCCAGCCAUGCCGCGUGUGUGAAGAAGGCCUUCGGGUUGUAAAGCACUUUCAGUGGGGAAGAAAGCCUUGGGGCUAAUACCCUCGAGGAAGGACAUCACCCACAGAAGAAGCACCGGCUAACUCCGUGCCAGCAGCCGCGGUAAUACGGAGGGUGCGAGCGUUAAUCGGAAUUACUGGGCGUAAAGCGCGCGUAGGCGGUCUGAUAAGCCGGUUGUGAAAGCCCCGGGCUCAACCUGGGAACGGCAUCCGGAACUGGCAGGCUAGAGUGCAGGAGAGGAAGGUAGAAUUCCCGGUGUAGCGGUGAAAUGCGUAGAGAUCGGGAGGAAUACCAGUGGCGAAGGCGGCCUUCUGGACUGACACUGACGCUGAGGUGCGAAAGCGUGGGUAGCAAACAGGAUUAGAUACCCUUGUAGUC
rnacentral:rRNA from 1 species